rnacentral:rRNA from 1 species
UCUUUUUGACUAUAAUUUAAAGUCUAGUCUGCCCAAUGAUUAACUUGAAUGGCCGCAGUAUUUUAACUGUGCUAAGGUAGCAUAAUCAUUUGUUUUUUAAUUAAAAGCUAGAAUGAAGGGCUGGAUGAAAAAGUGGCUGUCUUUAGGUUAUAAAUAGAACUUUAUUUUUUAGUUCAAAAGCUUAAAUAAGAUUUAAAGACGAGAAGACCCUAUAGAGUUUUAUAUAUAAGUAUUUCUAGAUAUUUAGUAUUCUAAAUUUUUUAUAUUUAUAUAUUAAGUUGGGGUGAUUAAUAAAAUAACAAAUCUUUAUUUUUAUUUAAAUAUACUUAAAUAGAUGGUUGAUCCAAUAUUAUUUGAUUAUAAGGCUAAAUUACCUUAGGGAUAACAGCGUAAUUUUGUUAGAAAGUUCUUAUUGAUAGCAAAGAUUGCGACCUCGAUGUUGGAUUAAAA